rnacentral:rRNA from 1 species
AUGGCCCCUACCGCGCCGCAGCCGCCCCGCCCCUCCGCCGCCGCCCCCUCCGCGGCGCCGGUCGACGCGCUCUUCCUCCAGAACCUGAUGAACCGCGUCCAGCUCCGCCCGCCCUUCCUCGACACCAACUCCUUCCUCACCCAGGACCUCGACGACUUCCUCCUCAACGAGUUCGCCGCGCUCUCCGCCGCGGCGGGCGAGUCCUACGACGACGACGACGACGACGAAGAAGGGGAGGACGGCGGCCUCUCCGACGGGGAGGCCUCCGGGGAGGCCAGGCGGCGCCGGAUGCUCUCGCGGGAGGAGGCCAAGCUGGAGAAGGAGAUCGUCCGGAUGGUGCUCGCCGGCGACGGGGACGCCCUUAAGCCCAACUCGGGCCAGUCCGUCGCCGUCGGCGACCACCACGUGUGCGUCGGCUUCCACGACGAGGCCGGUGGGGAGUACCGCGUGUGGGAGUGGCACGGCCACGUCAUGCUCUUUGACGACGAGGACGGCUACUCCGCCGAGUACAUCUACGGGAACCACUUCGAGCCGCUCGCUGCCGCCGCUGCCAGGGCCAAGCAGAAGGAGAAGGAGAAGAGAGAGAAGGACCUCACCUCGGGCCUUCGGGAUUUGAUUGUGGGUGAUGGGGACAGUGCCAAUGGCUUGAAUUUGAAUGGCAAUGGCGGAGGCCCCAGGGUGGUGCGCAGGAACGUCGUAAAUGCCCCUGCAGCAGCGCCUGCAAGGUAA